UACGAAGGGGGCUAGCGCUGCUCGGAAUCACUGGGCGUAAAGGGUGCGUAGGCGGGCCUUUAAGUCAGGGGUGAAAUCCUGGAGCUCAACUCCAGAACUGCCUUUGAUACUGAGGAUCUUGAGUUCGGGAGAGGUGAGUGGAACUGCGAGUGUAGAGGUGAAAUUCGUAGAUAUUCGCAAGAACAUCAGUGGCGAAAGCGGCUUCCUGGACCAGCACCGACGUUCAGGCACGAAAGCGUGGGGAGCAAACAGG
rnacentral:rRNA from 1 species